GGUUCUAGCGAGCCCACCUCCCACCCGUGUUUACUGUAACCUUAGUUGCUUCGGCGGGCCCGCCUUUAAGGCCGCCGGGGGGCAUCAGCCCCCGGGCCCGCGCCCGCCGGAGACACCACGAACUCUGUCUGAUCUAGUGAAGUCUGAGUUGAUUGUAUCGCAAUCAGUUAAAACUUUCAACAAUGGAUCUCUUGGUUCCGGCAUCGAUGAAGAACGCAGCGAAAUGCGAUAACUAGUGUGAAUUGCAGAAUUCCGUGAAUCAUCGAGUCUUUGAACGCACAUUGCGCCCCCUGGUAUUCCGGGGGGCAUGCCUGUCCGAGCGUCAUUGCUGCCCAUCAAGCACGGCUUGUGUGUUGGGUCGUCGUCCCCUCUUCGGGGGGGACGGGCCCCAAAGGCAGCGGCGGCACCGCGUCCGAUCCUCGAGCGUAUGGGGCUUUGUCACCCGCUCUGUAGGCCCGGCCGGCGCUUGCCGAACGCAAAACAACCAUUCUUUCCAGGUUGACCUCGGAUCAGGUAGGGAUACCCGCUGAACUUAAGCAUAUCAAUAAGCGGAGGAAG
rnacentral:rRNA from 1 species